CCGAGCCCGGCCCAGGUAGAAAUAUUUUUAAAGUCAGUUUUUGUUUCGUUAUACCACACUGUGUCUAUGAACAAGCUGUAGACUGUGCGUGUGUGUGUAGACGCCGUGACAGCCUCUAGAUUAUCUGCCUUUUGGAAUUUCUUGAUAUUUUUAUGACGAGCAAAAUGUGGUCAGUUUUUGUGGAUACUCCAUGUAUAAUAGAAUGUGAAUCCUGUAUGUGAGGGAUACCAAAUAAAGUCAAGAUUUACAUUGUUUUAUUCUUGUGUUUUCAGCUUCUUGAUCUGUUGCUUUUAAUGAAAACAAAUGAGUUAUCUUUUCAGAGACCCUCAGACUGUGGAUGGGGAAUGGGUAGCCCAGGAGUCCAGCGUUGGGGCAGACUGGCCGGCCGGCCAGCGACAGCAGCCAGAGGGACCAGCGCCACCCUGCCCAGCCACCCCGCGUCCCUCGAACCCAGCCCAGCAGAUGCAGAGCUCACAUUUCUCCUGCUAGCAGCUCUCCCGGCUCCCCUGUGAGCCCCGAUAGCCAGGCCCAUUCCCUGUCAGCACCUGCAGCCAAGCGGGAGGCCUGGGGAUGGAGGAAUAUUGUCCUGUUCUGGCUUCGCCAGGCCAGGAUUAGAACUGCAUGCAGUGCAGCAUCUGACGCUCGCUGGACGCUCAGGAAGGACAAGACGGCCCUCCUCCUCCUGCCACCCAGAGCCCCAGCCUCCUCCCAGCUCCCCCCAGGCUCCCAGAAUAGCCUGCGGCCAGAGCUGGCCUGUGGUAAACAGCUCCAGAGCCUCUGGGUAGGUCUUGGAUGAGUAAUCCUUAGCAAAACAUCGUGGGAUCCAGAAAGGUGCAGGUGCCAGGCCUGAGCUGUGUGGGCCCCUCCAGCGCCCCCACCCGGACCCUCCGCUGGGCCACUCCAGGCCAGGCUGGCACGGCUCUGUGCUUCCUCUCACACCUCACUACUUACGCACAGCGGCCUCCUUCUCCUGGGUCAGCCAGGCCAGCUGGCUGCUCAGGGCUCAGGCGUUGGCUCCUCUGAGGAGUCCUGGGCUCCAAACAGCUGCUGGGCAACGCCGGGACGACAGCCUCUCCUGUCUUAAAGGGCAGGAGGUACUGCAGCUUCUUCCCCUGCCACAGCCCCAGGGACCCGACGGGGACACUCUGCCUCUGCCUCUGUGCGGAGUCAUGCUCUGCCUGGAAAGCUCCUCCUUCCUUCCUGGCCCAUUGGAAAAUCGCCAUGUGUCCUCUGGCCAGUCCCAGCACCCCCAGGUGGGACCCUAGCAACCCUGCACCUCCCACUGCAGCCCUGUCUCCCUCCUCUUCGCAGGGCAGCUGCCAAGCCUCGCCCAGUCCAGGUCUCCCCAGGCAGGAUCCCUUGGGGGAAACCUGAGGAGGCAGCUGUUUCCCCCACGCCCCAAGUGUCCUCAGAGAACCCCUUCCAGACCCCAAAGUCCAGAGCUCAGCCUCAGGUUCCCUCACUCGGGUCUGGGAACUGGAAGCCGGUCCUGCUCCCCUCCCCAGCCUCUGCCCCAUUUUUCUGUUCGCUUCCAUGUAGAGCAGACCAGAAUAUGCCACCCCAAAAUAUGCCUCUUUGGCAUAAGCAUUAUUUUGAGCUGCUUAUUUUGAGAAACUGCAGCCACAGAAGAAACUCUGCAAGCAAGCAUGGAAGCUGCUCUUCUGUGAGAGAAAGUCACAUCCGUACAGGAGGUGCCUCCCUCCCUGAGCCAGAAGGCCGGCUGAAGUCACCAGAGAUGCUCAUCCAUGGAGAAGGCCUGACCCCAGUUUGGGGGGUCUGUCCCAACUUCAAGGCCUGUGAAGGCUGCAGAGAGAAUUGCUUUUCCACCUUGCAGCACGAAGCCUCCCCCCCGGGAUCCUCCACGCCCCCAGCUGCUCCAAGACUUUCAAUUACGAGCACCUGUGCCCUCCUGGAGUCUGGUGUGUCCACAGACGGGCAGACUGAACCACCAAAUUCCUCCUCAGAGCCCAGUAAAGGCACCAGGCAGAAGGGUCCGGCCGAGGGCUGGCCGCUGUCUCCUCACUCCUCAGUGGGAUCCUGUCUUCUGACUUUUGUCACGUGCUGCCACAGCCUGUGGACGCCUGGUCCCCACGUGGAGACGGGCUUGUGGUCCCUCCUCUGAGAGCCUGCUUUGUGCCCGGCCCCGGGCCGAACUUUGAACAAGGCUCCUGUCUUACUCGAGUGCUUAUGUUUUGGGGAGAUAAACAAUAAACAGGAACAGAAGAAAGUG